AAAUUUUACAACUUUAAUCUUGAGAUUGUUUAAUUGUUUUAUGAUUGCUUGGCCCUAAUCCUCUUCCGUAUAUCUUUAUGUGCCCAGUAUUAUUAUAUAACAACAAAAAUUAAAUUUUACUAUAAUAAAAUUAACCUUUUCAUAGGUCGUAUACAUUCCAACCCAGUUUUCCUCUGUGGGCUGUAGCAUUCUUAAUAAAACCCCAGUAUUUUCCCCUUUAACCAAUUUAGAAACUUUUACAUCACGGCUAUAUUUAAGGUGUAAGCGAAUGUGGUAUUAGUUUCCUGCUUUAUGGCGUAUAUAAGGGUUAGAGUGCAGAAUGAGAUCAUUAUCUCUAGAAAGCAUCCCUGCGAACAAGAACAUGAAACUGCUAAGUCUUCUCGUCACACUGCUUGCUCUUAGCUAUGUGAACUCGAACACCGCUAAAACCUUCUCUGAACUUCUGCACAGGCUUGAAAGACUUAAGAAGCAUCAGUUCAAUGCACUCAGUAUAUCAGAAGCAAUCCAAACACCUCGAGAUGUAAAGAAUGCAUGUGAGUGCAAGGACUUAUUUGCAGAACGCCUGAAGCACUUUCUGAAGUCAGUUAAAAGUGUAGUACCCAAAAUCCAGUUUGCCAACAUUUUGGACAACGUGCAGUCUUUCUCUCAUCCUGGAGUCAGCGCGAAUGACAACUGUAACUUCACAAAGCAUAACCUAAAAACAUUGACAUCAGACGAUUUGAAGAAGUUGAUUCAGGAUAACAUUCAUUUCAUCCAAAACUGGAAUGCACACUGCAAACCAAAUCAUUAAUAAUGCAAGUCACAAAAGUAACUAAACAGACGCCCUGCUAUAGAGAUGUAAAUUAUAUAUUUAUUUGUUCAAA
rnacentral:lncRNA from 1 species